AGAGUUUGAUCCUGGCUCAGAGCGAACGCUGGCGGCAGGCCUAACACAUGCAAGUCGAACGGACCCUUCGGGGUUAGUGGCGGACGGGUGAGUAACACGUGGGAACGUGCCUUUUGGUUCGGAAUAGCUCCUGGAAACGGGUGGUAAUGCCGAAUGUGCCCUUCGGGGGAAAGAUUUAUCGCCAUUAGAGCGGCCCGCGUCUGAUUAGCUAGUUGGUGAGGUAAAGGCUCACCAAGGCUACGAUCAGUAGCUGGUCUGAGAGGAUGACCAGCCACAUUGGGACUGAGACACGGCCCAAACUCCUACGGGAGGCAGCAGUGGGGAAUCUUGCGCAAUGGGCGAAAGCCUGACGCAGCCAUGCCGCGUGAAUGAUGAAGGUCUUAGGAUUGUAAAAUUCUUUCACCGGGGACGAUAAUGACGGUACCCGGAGAAGAAGCCCCGGCUAACUUCGUGCCAGCAGCCGCGGUAAUACGAAGGGGGCUAGCGUUGCUCGGAAUUACUGGGCGUAAAGGGAGCGUAGGCGGACAUUUAAGUCAGGGGUGAAAUCCCAGAGCUCAACUCUGGAACUGCCUUUGAUACUGGAUGUCUUGAGUGUGAGAGAGGUAUGUGGAACUCCGAGUGUAGAGGUGAAAUUCGUAGAUAUUCGGAAGAACACCAGUGGCGAAGGCGACAUACUGGCUCAUUACUGACGCUGAGGCUCGAAAGCGUGGGGAGCAAACAGGAUUAGAUACCCUGGUAGUCCACGCCGUAAACGAUGAUUGCUAGUUGUCGGGAUGUUUACAUCUCGGUGACGCAGCUAACGCAUUAAGCAAUCCGCCUGGGGAGUACGGUCGCAAGAU
rnacentral:rRNA from 1 species